CAAAUUGCUGCACCAUCAUAAGCCCAUUACCCUCCACUGCCAGCGCUUGUGGCCCGCCCUUGGAAAAGCAAGAUACAGUAACUGCGAGGAGCAACCAGCGAGUAUCAAUGAGAUGGAACUGAGCGAAUUUGGCAGCAGAAGCGGCAAUUGACAACUCACCAUUUUCUUGUUUGCAAGAAAUGUUUCGUUUUCCCCCAACAGUAGCAAUUUCCCGGGGACUUUAGGCGACUGCGAUUUUUUUUUUUUUUUUUUUUCAUCCUAAAGAUCAGCUUAAAAAAAAAAUAUCAACUUUUAACAAUAAUAA